rnacentral:snRNA from 1 species
AGUUCAAUCCCCGGUACCAAAAAAACAAAACAAAACAGAGAAGUUUAGCAUGGCCCCUGCACAAGGAUGACACGCAAAUUUGUGAAGCUUUCCAUAUUUUU